AACGAACGCUGGUGGCGUGUUUUAUACAUGCAAGUCGAGCGAGGACAGUAGCUUGCUACUGAGCCGAGCGGCGAACGGGUGAGUAACGCGUAAGCAAUCUGCCCCACAAUCGGGAACAACCGUGCCAACGCGCGGCUAAUGCCGGAUAUUGUGUCCUACUGCAUAGUAGGUUAACGAAAGAUUUAUCGUUGUGGGAUGAGCUUGCGUCCGAUUAGCUAGUUGGCGGGGUAAUAGCCCACCAAGGCGACGAUCGGUAGCCGGCCUGAGAGGGUGAUCGGCCACAUUGGGACUGAGAUACGGCCCAGACUCCUACGGGAGGCAGCAGUGGGGAAUUUUGGACAAUGGGCGCAAGCCUGAUCCAGCCAUGCCGCGUGCAGGAUGAAGGCCUUCGGGUUGUAAACUGCUUUUGUACGGAACGAAAAAGCUCUCUCUAAUACAGGGGGUGAAUGACGGUACCGUAAGAAUAAGCACCGGCUAACUACGUGCCAGCAGCCGAC
rnacentral:rRNA from 1 species